AACGAACGCUGGCGGCAUGCCUAAUACAUGCAAGUCGAGCGGACCAAAGAGAGCUUGCUCUUUGAGGUUAGCGGCGGACGGGUGAGUAACACGUGGGCAACCUGCCUGUAAGCUUGGGAUAACUCCGGGAAACCGGUGCUAAUACCGAAUACAACAAAGGACCGCAUGGUCCCUUGUACAAAGACCUUGUGUCACUUACAGAUGGGCCCGCGGCGCAUUAGCUUGUUGGUGGGGUAACGGCCUACCAAGGCGACGAUGCGUAGCCGACCUGAGAGGGUGACCGGCCACACUGGGACUGAGACACGGCCCAGACUCCUACGGGAGGCAGCAGUAGGGAAUCUUCCGCAAUGGACGGAAGUCUGACGGAGCAACGCCGCGUGAGCGAUGAAGGUUUUCGGUUCGUAAAGCUCUGUUGUCAGGGAAGAACCGCCGGGAUGACCUCCCGGUCUGACGGUACCUGACGAGAAAGCCCCGGCUAACUACGUGCCAGCCGCCGCCGUAACAC
rnacentral:rRNA from 1 species